AUGGGUGACAGGAGGACCCCUGCUUUGGAAGGGCUAUAGGGGAAACUGCAGAGCUUGAAACUCUCAGAUGCAAAAAAGAGGAGCACAAAGAUUGGAAGGAAACAUGGCUGCUCGCUGGCGGUAGGAAAGCUACAGGCUGUGGGUAAGCUCUUCUCCGAAAGACCAGCUAAAGCAGAAUAUUUGGGAAAAACUUUAGGCAGCAUUUGGAGUCCCUUCACGGGUGUAGAAUGUAAGGACUUGAAUAGAAAUCGAUUCCUCUUCUCGUUCCAUGAUGUAGAAAGUAAGAGGAAGGCUCUGCAUAAUGGACCGUGGUCGUUUACUAAGGAGUUAUUAGUCAUGGAAGAUUUCAUGCCAAACAAAACGAUUGAUGACUAUGAGUUUAGGACUAUCCCCAUAUGGGUUAGAGCAUAUGGUAUUCCUAUGGGAAUGAUGAACUCAGAGGCAGGGGAGCUGGUGGGAGAAUAG
rnacentral:rRNA from 1 species